AAGGUAAGGGUGGAAAGGUGAGGUAAGAGCUCACCAGCGGCAUGGCGACUUGCCGGCUAUGUAAACCCCAUCUGGAGCAACACCGUAUAAGAGACAUAUGGUGGCCCGCCAGUCUCAGGCAGGUGGCUUGAGCUUUACAGAAAUGUAAGGCCUAGAUAGAUGACUAUCGAAUACAGAACCCGGCUUAUAGACUUACUCAAUGA
rnacentral:RNase_P_RNA from 1 species